AAGGUAUGGUAUGAUGCUGUGGGUGGUGAUGCUCUUGGUCUUACGUUAGGAAAAGCAAGUUCAAAGAAACGGAAGCAUGAUGGCUCCACGGAAGAGAGCAAGGAUCUUUCGAAUAUGCUAAAAACCAUCGGCGAGGUUGGGAAGGGCCUUGUGAGAAGUAUUCAUGUUAUCAAGGCCCAAAAACGUAAUAAUUAAAAUGUUCAAAAAGAUGUUGCAGCGUUGGUGUAACAACUAAUGUACACUAUGCAUAUUGUCAUCAAGAGGUACUGUUGGGUGGCAUGGAGCUCUUCAAAUUUUGCAGCACAACCUUUUUGUAUAUGUGUAGUUCUCUAGUCGAAGAGCCAACAAUCACCGGUAUUUGUAUUGAGAAAUUCAUUUUAUUAGUCGAGAAAAUAUAAAAAUAUCAGUGCGUUCAUUAUCUUC